CGAGGCAAACCGGGGAAACUGAAACAUCUCAGUACCCCGAGGAAAAGAAAUCAACCGAGAUUCCCCCAGUAGCGGCGAGCGAACGGGGAGCAGCCCAGAGUCAACAUCAAUAUUUACCGCAGGAGAAGGGUCUGGAAAGGCCGGCAAUAAAGGGUGAUAGCCCCGUAUCUGAAGCGGUAAGUGUUGUGAACUCGAAGAGUAGGGCGGGACACGUGUUAUCCUGUCUGAAUAUGGGGGGACCCAUCCUCCAAGGCUAAAUACUCCUGACUGACCGAUAGUGAACCAGUACCGUGAGGGAAAGGCGAAAAGAACCCCGGCGAGGGGAGUGAAAUAGAACCUAAAACCGUGUACGUACAAGCAGUGGGAGCACCCGAAAGGGUGUGACUGCGUACCUUUUGUAUAAUGGGUCAGCGACUUAUAUUCUGUAGCAAGGUUAACCGCAUAGAGGAGCCGUAGGGAAACCGAGUCUUAACUGGGCGUUAAGUUGCAGGGUAUAGACCCGAAACCCGGUGAUCUAGCCAUGGGCAGGUUGAAG
rnacentral:rRNA from 1 species